rnacentral:rRNA from 1 species
GAUGAACGCUGGCGGCGUGCCUAAUACAUGCAAGUCGAGCGAACAGAUGAGGAGCUUGCUCCUCUGACGUUAGCGGCGGACGGGUGAGUAACACGUGGAUAACCUACCUAUAAGACUGGGAUAACUUCGGGAAACCGGGGCUAAUACCGGAUAAUAUAUUGAACCGCAUGGUUCAAUAGUGAAAGACGGUUUUGCUGUCACUUAUAGAUGGUUCCGCGCCGCAUUAGCUAGUUGGUAAGGUAACGGCUUACCAAGGCAACGAUGCGUAGCCGACCUGAGAGGGUGAUCGGCCACACUGGAACUGAGACACGGUCCAGACUCCUACGGGAGGCAGCAGUAGGGAAUCUUCCGCAAUGGGCGAAAGCCUGACGGAGCAACGCCGCGUGAGUGAUGAAGGUCUUCGGAUCGUAAAACUCUGUUAUUAGGGAAGAACAAAUGUGUAAGUAACUAUGCACGUCUUGACGGUACCUAAUCAGAAAGCCACGGCUAACUACGUG